AGGCGAGGAGAGGAGGAGGCCGGAGCCAAAGAUGAGUGCUGUCGUGGACAAGUAGCAUUUGAGAGAGAAAAAAGUAAUUACAACAUUUUUAAUUGGAGAGAGUAUACUAUACAACACCCAUUGUUCAAAUUUGCAAUUAAUUAAUUAUAUAUAGCAAAUAAUUACAAAACUAGACAAAAAAAAUUAAUAUUGAACAACAUGUAGUAUGUGUAGAGAUAAAAAAGUUUGGAGCAAAUGAAAGAAAAAAUAAAUAAAUUUAAUUGGAG
rnacentral:lncRNA from 1 species